ACUCUGUGGGUAGUUGUUUUUGUUGACAUUGACUAUUAUUUCUGAAUUGUUUUUGGGUUUGUGAAAAUUUAUAAAAAUUUUAAAAGAAAUUGAAAAUCUACCAUUAGAAGGGCUUCGAAGUUGAUGAGAAAUACAAAAUAUAAUUAAAUUAAAUAACGGGUUAUUUUAAUGAAAAAACUAUAACGGAUUGUACAUCCAUCUCGCUGGUGAAAAGAGAAUUGAUGAAGGUGUAAGGUAACAGACAGUGAAAACAAAGACAUUAAUUUACAAACUUAACGUAAUCUAAAAUGGAUGCCUGCUUGGCGGUGGAAAAAGAGCUUAACCGUGUCAUAACAAAGUUUACAGGGAUUCGAGAGUAUAGUGGGCUUGUUAUCACUGAUGUUGUUCAGCUCCUAAGCGAAAUACAAAAUGCUUUCAAUGAAGAUAACCAGAAUGAUGCUGUUUUAACAGAGAGUCAAGUUAGAAUUAUUACUGAUGCCUUGCACAAAACAAACGAAAAACUGCAACGCAUAUCUGCAGAACAUCGAGAAUUGCACGGAGCUGUCAGUAAAGUUGGCAAAGUAGUCGAUAAAAACUUUGUCUCAGAUUUCACAGCGACUACAAGAACAGAUGCCCUCCAAGAUGAACAAAACAUGAUGCUUUUAAACAAAGUCAUGGCCAAACAUUAUUGUCGUCAAGGUAUGGAUGAGGUGGCUCAAGCACUAAUAAAAGAAUCUGGAAUGCAGUCAGAAGUCGCGCAAGAAGUCUUUGAUUCAGAAAGCAGCUUUGCAGAAAUCUUUAAAAUUUGGAAGUCAAUUCAAAAAUACAAUUUGCAGCCAGCACUUGAGUGGUCUGCGAGGUACUCAAAUGAAUUACUUGAAAAGAACUCGUCUUUGGAGUUUAAACUGCACAAACUGGCCUUUUUACAAAUUGUGUCCCGUGGUAUUGAAGCUCAAGGCGAAGCAAUUGCAUAUGCGAGAAACAAUUUUAGUAAAUUUGUUGAUCGCUUUGGCAGCGAGAUUCCCAAUUUGAUGGGAACAUUCAUCUAUUUGCCAAAUGGCAUAGAAAACUCUCCCUACAAGCAUUUAAUCUCUCCUGAGAUGUGGACAGAGGCAUCUUAUAUAUUUUUAAAGGACGCCUGCCAUACACUUGGCAUAAGCAAGAACUCAGCAUUGUCCGUUGUAAUCAAUGCUGGAUGCACUGCCUUGCCUGCUCUUCUAAACAUAAAACAAGUUAUGCUUUCAAGACAAGUACUCAGCAUAUGGAGUGGAAGAGAUGAACUGCCUAUUGAAAUAGAUCUAGACCCCGAAUAUCGUUAUCAUUCAAUAUUUGCGUGCCCCAUAUUAAGACAGCAAACUUCUGAAGACAAUCCACCAAAGAAGUUGACAUGUGGCCAUGUAAUAUCUAGUGACGCCUUGCUUAAACUAAGCAAUGGGCCUAUUCUUAAAUGUCCUUAUUGCCCUGUUGAACAAAAUUCUGACGAUGCAGUGCGAAUUUGGUUUUAGGUUACACACCAACACCACACAGGAUCAUAAAAUGUUUAUGGCGUCUAAAUUUUGCUUUGGUUCUUUUCGUACUUUCAACCCAAUAAAGAAUACUCUUAGGCCCAAUUUAUUGACUCUCCAUUAAACUUAAAUCGCCAUUAAAAAAGGAAUCUUAAAAUUAAAAACAAAAUUCGUUUAGUUCAGUCUCUGUUAAGAAUUUUUUUGAAGUUUUUUUAAAAGUCCUUUUAGUUAAAAAGCCAAAUUCGACCUUUUAAGAGGGAUUUUUAGAGCAAAUGGAGGUUUAAAAAAGGAUUUCUAUUUAUUCACUCUCCAUUAGCGUCAAAUGUCAUUUCAGUUAUUAUUUCAUUAUUUUUUUAUUUGAAAAAAAUUUGUUCGUGAAAUAAGCUAAGAAAUCAUGUAAACAAAAACAAAAAUUAUGUAUGUACAUUAACAGUCCAGAAUAGAAUAUUUUUGUAGGGACAUAUGUAGGUAUUUAUUCCAUAAAAAAGUUACAAUUUAAAAUGACUACGGCUCGCCAGAAAUUUUUUUGUAUGGGCAUGAGGGUUAAAUAGACAACACUUCAUUUAUGAUUUUUCUAAUCUACUUCACCGAGCCCAGAAGAAGCAUAUAUGGUAGCUGCGUUCCUUUGGAAAUAUUUAUCUACUUUUUAGUACUUAAAACUACUUUGAUCUACUUUGCUAUACUGAAAAAGUAGUUCAAAGCAGCUUUAAGUACUAAAAAGUAGAUAAAUAUUUCCAAAGGAACGCAGCUAGUAAUAGAUCUACCAGAAACUAGAUCUUCUUCACUUCAAAAGAAUCACGAGGUAAAACUAAUGAGAUGCUACAUAAUGUAAUCAUCCCAAAACAUUGCAAUUGUAACUUUGUCUUUGAUUACCACUGAUGGUACAUAUAUCGUUACUCUCGUCCGUGUGCUUUCGCCUGGCGUUUUACGGCUCCAAAAUACUUACGGGCCAUAGCGUUUAUGUUUUUUGUAUUGUUUUUCCUUCCUUCAAAUUUAAAAAAAAAUUGAUUUGACAAAUUUCUGCUUUUGACAGUUUUAUUUUUCAAAAACUAAAAAAUCCCUAAGAUAUUUUUAAUGGAGUUUUAAAUUUAAAGUUUUCAUUAAAAGUAAAGACUUUAACUAAAGUAAAGUGAAUUAAAUGAAUUUUUUAAUGAUGUAUACUUAAAGGCGUCAAUAGUUAACAACGCUGUUAACUAAAACGAUAAAUUUCAAAAUUUAAUGGAGGCUCAAUAAAUUGGCCCUUAAUGUAUUAGGUAUUUGGAGGAACGAAUAAUUAUUUUUUAUUGUACUAGACAUAAUUUUUAAAACGGAUAACAUACAGCCCUAUAAUGAGUAUCAAUUUGAUUGUUGAUAAUUAUCGACUUUUUGUUAAAUCGGUAUUGAGUAUCAAUUUCUUAAACGAUGGUGAAUAGUUCAUUGGUUAUUCGCGUUUGACGUUUUAAAAUUCAUUGUGAAUGAGAUUUUUGUAUCUAGUUUGACGUUUUAAUUAUUGUUUUGAAAUUUUAUUUUGUGACUAGAAUAAAAAUCAAAAUUGUUGUCUGAAAAUAUAAGUUGUUCUCAUAAACAAAAAUAUUUUAUUUAGGUAUGGGACAGUAAUAACAGCUCGUUUCAAAUCAAAAGUCCUGUCUCUGAGUUUAUUUUCUCCCUUCCAAUAAAAUUGAGAAUAAAUAAACAAAAACUCAAUUUUAUUGGCUCAUUACGACAAAUCAACUCAAAAUUAACAAAAAAUCAUGCUUGUUUGAUUGAAUUAAAUGCUAGAGAAAACAAUAAACACGAAAAAUCUGAA